rnacentral:rRNA from 1 species
UACAGAGGUCCCAAGCGUUGUUCGGAUUCACUGGGCGUAAAGGGUGUGUAGGUGGCGCCGUAAGUCGGGUGUGAAAUUUCGGAGCUUAACUCCGAAACUGCAUUCGAUACUGCGGUGCUUGAGGACUGGAGAGGAGACUGGAAUUCAUGGUGUAGCAGUGAAAUGCGCAGAUAUCAGGAAGAACACCCGUGGCGAAGGCGGCUCUCUGGGACGGUACUGACGCUGAGACGCGAAAGCGUGGG